GGUAGAGUGGCCGAGCGGUCCAAGGCGCUGUGUUCAGGUCGCAGUAUCGAAAGAUGCGUGGGUUCGAAUCCCACCUCUAUCA
rnacentral:tRNA from 17 species